rnacentral:snRNA from 1 species
ACGUAGAAGCAGUGGCAGUAUCAUAGCCAAUGAGGUUUAUCUGAGGCGCGAUUUUAUUGAUAAUUGAAAACUUUCCUCAAAAGU